GACGAAAAUACUUUGACAGUUUAAAUCAAGCAAAAACAUGUUUUGACGAACACAUGUGCAAGAUUAAGAUUAAAAAUUGUGAACAAAUGCAAAACGCAGAAAAAAAACCGGAUACCAGGUCACCCGUGGAACUGUGGUUCGUUGCCGGAAAAAGUAUCGGCCUAACUGCCGCAUUACUACAAACAGUUGGUACCAGUCCUGGCAUAAGGCCAACACUUUUAGACACGACACAAUUCGGCUAGGGACAACCGAAGUCUCGUCAAUAUGCAGCAGGUUCCGUUGCCUUAGCGGUAGCCCCGUAGCCCCGAAUUGUGUCCGGACGAGGAUCUCGUCAAGGCACACAGGAGGACGUACUGGACAAAAUUUACAACGAUUCGGCGAUUCAACCUCCUCUUCGACGUUCGCCGCAUCUACACCCGGAUCCGGAGGACACCUCCCAAUGUAACCCAUAUUCCACUAAAUCUUGCCGUUGAACUAGACAAUGGUAAUUACACCUCACAUCAUCUUCACCAGGAUACUCCGGAACUGAGCGGACCUCCCACCGGGAUGGCACCGAUGCAUUCUAGGAUGCAUUACAAAUCACCACCCGCCUCCACAGAAUCAUCUGCCGCCACACGGUCACCAACAAGGACCGCCCGUCGUGCCCGUUCCCGAGUCCGAGUUCGACAAUAACAGGCGUUGUGAUGGCGACGGAACCGACCGCCACCGUAGGGAUGAUUCCUGCCAAACAGUC